rnacentral:rRNA from 1 species
AACGAACGCUGGCGGCAUGCCUAACACAUGCAAGUCGAACGAGCCCUUCGGGGCUAGUGGCGCACGGGUGCGUAACGCGUGGGAACCUGCCCUUGGGUUCGGAAUAACAGUUGGAAACGACUGCUAAUACCGGAUGAUGACGUAAGUCCAAAGAUUUAUCGCCCUAGGAUGAGCCCGCGUAGGAUUAGCUAGUUGGUGAGGUAAAGGCUCACCAAGGCGACGAUCCUUAGCUGGUCUGAGAGGAUGAUCAGCCACACUGGGACUGAGACACGGCCCAGACUCCUACGGGAGGCAGCAGUGGGGAAUAUUAGACAAUGGGCGAAAGCCUGAUCCAGCAAUGCCGCGUGAAUGAUGAAGGCCUUAGGAUUGUAAAGCUCUUUUACCCGGGAUGAUAAUGACGGUACCGGGAGAAUAAGCUCCGGCUAACUCCGUG